AUGAUCUCAGCCCUAACUUCAAGGAUGGCCUUUGUCUGUAGGCAGGAUGCUAGAGAGGCUGCUAGGUCUACUCCUCCGGGCACCUCUGACAGAUGUGGAGAGAAACCAGUUUCAUUAUUCUCCCUCCACCCAUCUCCUGACAUAGACUGGCCUUUCUGCAGAGAAGAAAGAUUUGUUUAUACCAGUUACUCACCUAUGUCCCCCUCCUGAGCUGCCUAAGGCCCUGUGAAGACUCCAUCCUGAGUGCACAUGUCUGGUAUCUGCAGCAAAAGUGUUGAGAACCCCUGAAACCCAAGAAUAAAACAAAUCUUGGCCAGAGGAUACUGUGGCUG
rnacentral:lncRNA from 1 species